AGAGGCAGCUGUGAAAGUAGUUCCUAUAUAAGCUCCAAAAUUCAUAAUUUUAGAGCUCUUCUCCUGUGGCGUGAACCCACUGUACCUACAGGUGACAUCUGCCCUCACCAUGUUGCCCCAUGAGGGACUGAGUCCUGGGGAUCCGUCACGAGAUGUUCUAUCAAAGCUUUCUACACCCUGGACUCAUCCUGUGAUGCUUAAGCACCUACACCAAGAUCAAACUCUACGUCAGCAUGAAGCUGUUUUAUCUUUCAGACAUUAUAGACAUAUUCCCUUGGACAUACAAGCUUUUCAGAGCUGAAUAUAUAUAAAACUUGAAUUGCCUCUGGCCUGUAUGGGAACUGCUGCCCUGAGUGCAGAAUUCAAGUUCAUCCCUCUGAGGAGGAGGAGACUUCCCUAACCUCAGGUGGAGGUGACUUGGAGCUCAAGAAAUGCAUACCUAGUUGGGGUCUUCUGGCUACACGACCCUGAAGGGAGGAGAGUCUCAUUUCUGGAGCCACUUAAACAAGUAGGGAAUGCAAAGAUCUUUUUAAAGUUGCAUCCCCAAGCCAGGGAGCAUUGCCAGUUUUUUUUUUCUAGUGGUAGAUUUUGGUUAGUCAUUUUUCUAAAAAUGUUUCUAGCACUUACUGUGCCUUAAAUGGUCUCCAAGGAACCCGAAAUAGUGACGACGUCUCCUUAAAUGCUCCUGGGGUAUGACUUAGAGUCCAAGAAUUAUAGAGUUCAAUAAAUAUUAAUGAACUUUAAUGUUAACAUCAAAAUAUUCCUAUAGGAUAUUCAGUUAUCAGCUUUAUUAAAUCAUUUCCUACAGGAGAUGAAAUUUUUCUGACACAGCCAACACUGACUUAAUAGCAAUAUCUGAAGAGAUAAAACAUUUAUUGUUGUGAGACUGUUAUAAAAAAAAUAGCAACUUCCUCUUUCUUAAAUUAAAAUCAACUUCUUUGAAAUCAAAUAUAUCCAUGUAAGUCCUUGAUGCUGGAAAAAAAACCUUGGGGGGAAUAUUUAAUAUUAGACGUGUCGAUGUGUCUGUCCUUUGCUAAAAAUAAACUUAGCAGAGUGCUAAAGACAACUUUGGCAACAGAAGCUAACAUAAUUACUGAAUCUUCAGAAUGGAACAUUCAUAAAAAUAAACACUGGACAAGUGCCUGGGCCCAUAUAGAAACUGGGCCUGGUUUUGUGUAAAGAUGGCACAUUUAGCACACCCAACGUAUUUUGCUAUACAUUAGCAAAUGCCAGAAGAGCUAUAUAUAAUGGACUUUUUUUUUUUUACAAGCAUAAACUCAAAGGACAAAGAGAAAAAGAGAGGCAAUAAUAACAACAGAAUUUUGGAAACUGGAAAGCAAAUGCACAAGUGACAGCUCUCUUGGCAGAACUGAAACAGCCAAACACUAAACUGGCAAAGGGGGAGCAAAGAAGUAAUCUGAUUUACACAGCAGAUGCUCAAAAGGCUAAGAAUUCAACCCCUCCUAGGGUAGGGCUCGAGCAGGAUGCUAUGAUGAGGAAGAUUGGUUUAAAGACAUAUGAGAAGAAUUAGAUCUCUGUAUCUCAAAUGCACUUCACGCUGCUGGGUUCCUGCCCCUCCCCCAGUACAGCAGAAUGCUAGAAAUUUAUUCUGUGGAGAAAGUAAAGCUCAGGGUCUUUGGACUGAUGAGAAUGCACACACAGAAGACAGUAGAGACAUCUCACUGCAAACAGGGGAGUUUAUCAAACAUUGGCAUGAUAAAUGAUGAAAUCCCCCAGGUUGAUUCCUUUCCUUGGUUCCCAGAACAAUGGCAGCCCUGUUGUUAUGUUCCAGGCAAGAGAUUGCAAGACUCUUCUCUGGGGACUUAGCUCAGCCUAACAGUAAAUAUCUAAAGAUCCAACUUUCACAUCUGGAGUUUCCUCAACAGCCAGAUCACCCUAAAGCAAUGAACACCAGAGAAACUCCCAUCCAAUGCUCUGAGCUUUCAGUCACCUUUGCUAGGCCCCACUCUUGAACGAGCCGACAACCAAAGAUCACUAGACAUCUCAGGAAAGCCUCAAGAUGGACACCAAAGACAUAAACAGAAGAAAGCAACUUAGCAGACACAGAGACUAUCUCAGGAGAAGGAAAUUUCAAAAACAUUAUCAUUAGUAUCUUCAGAGAGGUAAGAGAAACAUCGCAUCCAUAAAACAAGAAUACGAUAGUCUAAUAAGGAACACUUAGGGCAGCAGUUCUCAAACUUUUUGGUCUAAGGAUCCCUUGCCUUAAUACUCUUAAAAAAUUAUUGAGGAUCCCAAAAAGCCUUUUUUUAUGUAGAU
ensembl:lncRNA